GGACAGAUGGCCGAGUGGUUAAGGCGUUGCGUUUAGGCCGCAAUCUCUUCGGAGGCGUGGGUUCGAGUCCCACUCUGUUCA
rnacentral:tRNA from 2 species